UGGGGAAUAUUGCGCAAUGGGCGGAAGCCUGACGCAGCGACGCCGCGUGGGGGAUGACGGCCUUCGGGUUGUAAACCUCUUCAGCAGGGACGAAGCGGAAGUGACGGUACCUGCAGAAGAAGCACCGGCCAACUACGUGCCAGCAGCCGCGGUAAUACGUAGGGUGCAAGCGUUGUCCGGAAUUAUUGGGCGUAAAGAGCUCGUAGGCGGUUCGUCGCGUCGGCUGUGAAAACCUGAGGCUCAACCUCAGGCCUGCAGUCGAUACGGGCGGACUUGAGUACUGCAGGGGAGACUGGAAUUCCUGGUGUAGCGGUGAAAUGCGCAGAUAUCAGGAGGAACACCGGUGGCGAAGGCGGGUCUCUGGGCAGUAACUGACGCUGAGGAGCGAAAGCGUGGGGAGCGAACAGGAUUAGAUACCC
rnacentral:rRNA from 1 species